CCUACGGGAGGCAGCAGUGGGGGAUAUUGCUCAAUGGGCGCAACCCUGAUGCAGCGACGCCGCGUGAGUGAAGAAGUAUUUCCGUAUGUAAAGCCCUAUCAGCCGGGAAGCAAAUGACAGUACCUGACCAAGAAGCCCCGGCUAACUACGUGCCAGCAUCCGCGGUAAUACGUCGGGGGCACGCGUUAUCCGGAUUUACUGGGUGUAUAGGGAGCGUAGACGGUUAUGUAAGUCUGGAGUGAAAGCCCGGGGCCCAACCCCGGUACUGCUGUUGAAACUGUGUAACUGGAGUACAGGAGGGGCAGGCGGAAUGCCUGGUGUAGCGGUGAAAUGCAUAGAUAUCAGGAGGAACACCGGCGGCGAAGGCGGCCUGCUGGACUGAAACUGACGUUGAGGCUCGAAAGCGUGGGGAGCAAACAGGAUUAGAUACCCGAGUAGUC
rnacentral:rRNA from 1 species